CUCUGAUGAAUCUGCAGUCAGCGUUUUCCAUGACCUCUUUGUUGAUUCAUGCAGUAAACCAGAAGAUAAAGUCUUGACUGCUGCUACCAAGUGUGUCGCCGAGAAGUUGCCAGAACCUUUGCCUGGACCUUCCUGUGAAAAAGGGAAUGGUGGAGUCAAUAAAGUAAAAGAAGGUAAGAACCAUAUUUUAUUUAAAAAGUCAUUUGAUUGAAUGAUUCUUUAAAAAUAUGAGCAUUAAUACACUCUAAUACCUAAAGAAAAUGCCCUAUUAAGUAUAUAAUAAGUAAAGGAGGAGUAAAAUGGUGAUAAGUUGUGUCUCUAAUUAGAGGUCCGCAGUAAAUUCUAUCGAGAGGGCCAGUAAAGGAGCCGAGGUGUUAGUUCAGCUUCAAGGUACGCUAAGACCUGAGGCAAGUCAGGAAAGAGGGAAGAGAUGAUAAACAAAAGAGAAAGAAUGAGGGGGGCAGAGUGUACAUAGAAGAAGUAGAAAAGAUAUGCGGGUGUACGCAAUGGAGGGUAGCAGAGUGAAAUUGAUCUAUACAACAGGGAGGAGCAGGGUGU